rnacentral:rRNA from 1 species
CUGGUUGAUCCUGCCAGUAGUUAUAUGCUUGUCUCAAAGAUUAAGCCAUGCAUGUCUCAGCAUAUGUCUGUGUACGAUUCAGCUGCGAAUGGCUCACUAGAGCAGACAUUAUUCAUGUGGUUGCAUUGAUACAUGGAUACCUGUGGAAAAUCUAGGGCUAAUACAUGCAUUCAGAUCCGACUUCAAGGUAGGAUUGCAUUCAGUAGUGUUCAGAACCAUUUCCAGGCUAUGCCUGCACACUCACGAUGACUCAUAAUGACUUUUCUAAUCGCAUGGUAGACACCAGUGAUAUGUCAUUCAAGUUUCUGACCUAUCAGCUUCCGAUGGUAUGGUAUUGGCAUACCAUGGCGAUGACGGGUGACGGAGAAUUAGGGUUCGAUUCCGGAGAGGGAGCCUGCGAAAUGGCUACCACAUCUAAGGAAGGCAGCAGGCGCGCAAAUUACCCAAUUCUGAAACUGGGAGGUAGUGACAAGAAGUAACGAUAUCGGGCAUAAUUGUCUUGUAAUUGCAAUGAAUCGAUCCCAAAUUCCUCGAUGAUUACCAAUUGGAGGGCAAGUCUGGU